rnacentral:rRNA from 1 species
AUUGAACGCUGGCGGCAGGCUUAACACAUGCAAGUCGAGCGGGGUGAUGGUGCUUGCACUAUCACUUAGCGGCGGACGGGUGAGUAAUGCUUAGGAAUCUGCCUAUUAGUGGGGGACAACAUCUCGAAAGGGAUGCUAAUACCGCAUACGUCCUACGGGAGAAAGCAGGGGAUCACUUGUGACCUUGCGCUAAUAGAUGAGCCUAAGUCGGAUUAGCUAGUUGGUGGGGUAAAGGCCUACCAAGGGGACGAUCGGUAGCGGGUCUGAGAGGAUGAUCCGCCCCACUGGGACUGGGACACGGCCCAGACUCCUACGGGAGGCAGCAGUGGGGAAUAUUGGACAAUGGGGGGAACCCUGAUCCAGCCAUGCCGCGUGUGUGAAGAAGGCCUUAUGGUUGUAAAGCACUUUAAGCGAGGAGGAGGCUCUUUUGGUUAAUACCCAAGAUGAGUGGACGUUACUCGCAGAAUAAGCACCGGCUAACUCUGUGCCAGCCGCCGCCGUAA